rnacentral:rRNA from 1 species
UACAGAGGGUGCGAGCGUUAAUCGGAAUUACUGGGCGUAAAGCGUGCGUAGACGGCUAUCUAAGUCGGGUGUGAAAGCCCCGGGCUCAACCUGGGAAUUGCAUUCGAGACUGAGUAGCUAGGGUACGGUAGAGGGAAGUGGAAUUUCCGGUGUAGCGGUGAAAUGCGUAGAUAUCGGAAGGAACAUCAGUGGCGAAAGCGGCGAUCUGGGAAGAUACUGACGCUGAGGUGCGAAAGCGUGGGGAGCAAACAGG